rnacentral:rRNA from 1 species
AUUUAAAGGACGCAGUACCCUGACUGUGGUAAUGUAGCAUAAUCAUUCGCCAUUUAAUUGAUGGAUAGUAUGAAUGGUUGAACGAAUUCUUCACUGUCUUAAAAAGAGAAAUCAUGAAAUUAAAAUAAUAGUUAAGAUGCUAUUUAAAAUUGUAAGACGAAAAGACCCUAUAGAGCUUAACUACAAGCUUUUUUAAAAUAUAGAAAUCAUACUUCUUAAUAUAAAAAGCUAGGUAGUUUAGUUGGGGCGACUAUCUUCUAAAAAUAACGAAGACAAGCAAUGUUAAUAAUUAACUUAUUGUAUAAUUAAUAAAUUUAACAAUUACAAAAGUAGGCUAUAAUGACCCGUUAUAAUUAAAUAAUAAAUGUAACGAUUAAUAAAUAAAAGCUACCUUAGGGAUAACAGGAUAAUUUUGUUUUAGAGAUCCUAUCGAAAACAAAGUUUGUCACCUCUAUGUUGAAUUAAG